GGCAGCAGUGGGGAAUUUUGGACAAUGGGCGAAAGCCUGAUCCAGCCAUGCCGCGUGAGUGAAGAAGGCCUUCGGGUUGUAAAGCUCUUUCAGCCGGAAAGAAAUCGCGCAGGCUAAUACUCUGCGUGGAUGACGGUACCGGAAGAAGAAGCACCGGCUAACUACGUGCCAGCAGCCGCGGUAAUACGUAGGGUGCGAGCGUUAAUCGGAAUUACUGGGCGUAAAGCGUGCGCAGGCGGUUAUAUAAGACAGAUGUGAAAUCCCCGGGCUCAACCUGGGAACUGCGUUUGUGACUGUAUGACUAGAGUACGGCAGAGGGAGGUGGAAUUCCGCGUGUAGCAGUGAAAUGCGUAGAUAUGCGGAGGAACACCGAUGGCGAAGGCAGCCUCCUGGGCCAGUACUGACGCUCAUGCACGAAAGCGUGGGGAGCAAACAGGAUUAGAUACCCUGGUAGUCCACGCCCUAAACGAUGUCAACUAGUUGUUCGGUGAGGAGACUCAUUGAGUAACGCAGCUAACGC
rnacentral:rRNA from 1 species